rnacentral:misc_RNA from 1 species
GAUGAAGAACGCAGCGAAAUGCGAUAAGUAGUGUGAAUUGCAGAAUUCAGUGCAUCAUCGAAUCUUUGAACGCACAUUGCGCCCCUUGGUAUCCCGAGGGGCAUGCCUGUUCGAGCGUCAUUUCACCACUCAAGCCUGGCUUGGUGUUGGGCGACGUCCUCUUUGGGGACGCGCCUCGAAACGCUCGGCGGCGUGGCACCGGCUUUAAGCGUAGCAGAAUCUUUCGCUUUGGAAGUCGGGGCCCCGUCUGCCGGAAGACCUGCUCGCAAGGUUGACCUCGGAUCAGGCAGGGAUACCCGCUGAACUUAAGCAUAUCAAUAAGCGGAGGA